CUGGAAGAUGCGCCGCAGGCCAAUCAAGAGACAAGAAGUUCGGCAAAGACCCAGGGCAGGUCUGGAGCGCUCCUCGCGAGCCAAGCAAUUCACUAACGUGCAAUUGUACUCGAGCCCGUGAAGGCAAUUUGCAGAACAUCAGAGAAAAACGCUCAGUCGCAGCUCCCGGGGAGUUUGGCCACAGAGCGUCCAAGGGCAGUGAGCUUGACCCAGAUGAAACACAAGUAAAACCCACCAAACCUGCAUGGUAUGGUUCCAGAAGCUGCGAGUUUCACCUGCUGACUAUGUAGAAAAGUAUGACCCGAUCCAGUGGAUGGAAUCUGAAGCUAGAGAAACUGAGACUGGAAAUAAG